rnacentral:rRNA from 1 species
GUAACGCGUGAAGAACCUGCCUUUCAGUGGGGGACAACAGUUGGAAACGACUGCUAAUACCGCAUAAUGUAUUUGAGUGGCAUCACUUAAAUACCAAAGCUUUAUGUGCUGAAAGAUGGCUUCGCGUCUGAUUAGCUAGAUGGCGGGUAACGGCCCACCAUGGCGACGAUCAGUAGCCGGUCUGAGAGGAUGAACGGCCACAUUGGGACUGAGAUACGGCCCAGACUCCUACGGGAGGCAGCAGUGGGGGAAUAUUGGGCAAUGGGGGAAACCCUGACCCAGCAACGCCGCGUGAAGGAAGACGGUUUUCGGAUUGUAAACCUUUGUCUUUGGUGAAGAAGAAAGUGACGGUAGCCAAGGAGGAAGCCACGGCUAACUACGUG